rnacentral:lncRNA from 1 species
CUGGAAAUAAGAAAAGCUCUGAGGGUCUCCAAAGUUACCAGAGGAAGGCUGAAUUUUAUGAGUCUAGUCCUCAACUCUAACCAAAGUAAAGGAAACUGGAAAGACACACGCUUUUUCAGUCAUUAAUAGAAAGUUGUCCAGAAACCCGGCGAGUGAAUCUACCCAGAGCUGAAGCUUCCUUUGCAACUUGGGAACACCAGGGCCACAGUGACUUUGUGGCUUGGCUUUAGAUAAAUUUGACCAUGGCUGUAGAACCCAGCAGCUCAGAAUCCAUUAAAAGGAGAGCUGGGAGGAGGCUCCUGCCAUACGCCAGACAGUUUUGUAGACACGAAGGAUCCAGAGAUUAGCAACACCUUUACCAUUUUUGGUGACAGUUAAGCACCCAUCUAAGAAGUUUUCUUUGGGUUUCCGGAGAGACCGAACUCUGCUCUCAGCACCUUUCCCAGC